CCCCAGCCAGCCAACAGUCAGGAUGACAUCACAAUCACUAGUUCAUAGGUUCUGUCACUGUCUCCAUUUGACAGAGGAGGAAACUGAGUCACAGAGAGCAGGGCAAUAUCUCAAAGCUGCAGAGCUCACACAUGGAAGAAUCAGAUUGUAUCUCAUUGUAUCAGUCAGCUACACUUUUGCUGGGAUAAAAUACCAGAAACACAACUUAAAGAAGAAAAGAUUUCAGAGGAUCCAUCCACGGUUACCUGGCUCCAAGGUUCAUGUUGCUGCUGCUGCUGUUGGAGAGGGUAUAGGCUCUGAGGUGAGGACCCAGGGGAUGUGGGCAGCCAUGCUCCUCCAGCCCUCUGCAAGCUUUUGCAUCCCUCUGUGCUCUUUGGUUCCCUGGGCCUGCCUUGAGUUCUGCUGGCUGGUCUAGCACCACACUGUUCAUCCAAGCAUCUCCACUGGUUUCUCCAGCCCUGAGGGAGCACCCAGCACAGAGCACUCCUCAGUGAGGACAGAAGGAAUGGCAGCCUCAGGCUCAUUUUAUGAGAAGACUGAAACCUCCCAGACCUACCUACACUUGGAGACUAAUAUAUGGAGGGGAAAGCUGGAGUGAUUGAAACUAGAAAAUAACUGUUUCAAACAAUAAGAAAACUGCACAAAAAAGAAUAAAACACACAAAAGGAAAUGAGAAGGAAGUAAAUGGAAUCAACAGUUGGAGGGCCAGAAAUAAAAAUCAAUAAAUAAAACUGAUCCUCUCCUGAUGAGGGAUCCAGUGGAG
rnacentral:lncRNA from 1 species